CCGUAGCCCAAGAGAUCGGGAUAACACCUGAAACAGAUGCUAAUACCGGAUAACAACAGAUGAUGCCUAUCAACUGUUUAAAAGAUGGUUCUGCUAUCACUCUUGGAUGGACCUGCGGUGCAUUAGCUAGUUGGUAGGGUAACGGCCUACCAAGGCGAUGAUGCAUAGCCGAGUUGAGAGACUGAUCGGCCACAUUGGGACUGAGACACGGCCCAAACUCCUACGGGAGGCAGCAGCU
rnacentral:rRNA from 1 species